rnacentral:rRNA from 1 species
AUUGAACGCUGGCGGAAUGCUUUACACAUGCAAGUCGAGCGGCAGCGCGGGGGCAACCCUGGCGGCGAGCGGCGAACGGGUGAGUAAUACAUCGGAACAUGUCCAGUCGUGGGGGAGUAGCCCGGCGAAAGCCGGAUUAAUACCGCAUGAGCUCGAGAGAGGAAAGCGGGGGACCGUAAGGCCUCGCGCUAUUGGAUGAGCCUAAGCCCGAUUAGCUAGUUGGUGGGGUAAAGCCUACCAAGGCAAUGAUCGGUAGCUGGUCUGAGAGGGCGACCGGCCACACUGGGACUGAGACACGGCCCAGACUCCUACGGGAGGCAGCAGUGGGGAAUCUUGCGCAAUGGGCGAAAGCCUGACGCAGCGACGCCGCGUGAGGGAUGACGG